AGCAUCACAAAUGAAUUUCACUCUGUUUCUGGCCUAGAAGCGGGGAGCCUGGAGGUUGGGCAGGUUUUCCCAGACAAGAAGUCUGCUUACCAAGCAAUUAAUAGGUAUGCAAUCGCCCUCCACCGCCAGCAAAAAGUGAAGCAGUUUGAUAAAAAAGAAUUGAAGGUCAUAUGCAUCCACACCGCGAAAAGUUGCCGCGGAAGAGUUCUCGCUAGACUGAAGCCUGGGGUAUGUCAGUCAUGGCAUAUCACAAAAAUAGUGCAGCAUAGCUGUGAGCAAACUGGGACUCUUUCAAAUCACUGCAAUGUGACGGCAAGAUAUGUGGCACAGGUGAUGGAAACGAUUGUGCAGGGAAGUCUCAACAUUAGUGUUAGGGCUUUGCAAAAAGAUGCAGAAGAUCAGAUUGGCUUCCCUGUCAGCUACAACAAGGCUAGGCGUGCGAAGGAAAAUAUAUUCAAGAACGUGUAUGGAACCUAUGAGGAGGCCUAUUCUUAUGCCCCCAGAAUGCUUCAUCAGAUAGCAAGUGCUAAUAGGGGGACUCAAGUUUGGCGGAGAGAACGUCAGAACCCAAAGAACCCAGGUGAGCUAAUCCUGGACCGCUUAUUCUGGGCAUUCACCCAGACUAUACAAGCCUUCAGGCACUGUCGCCCGGUAUUAUCAGUUGAUGGUACCUUUCUCACUGGAAAGUACAAGGGCACACUAUUGGUGGCGAUUGCAGCAGAUGCAAAUAAU
rnacentral:rRNA from 1 species